rnacentral:autocatalytically_spliced_intron from 1 species
GUAACGACUUUUCUGAUUAUGGAUAAUCGGAAGGAUUCCACUAACUAGUGGGAUAACACGCUAAGCUCCCGAAUGAUGAUUUCGGGAUGAUGGUAUAGUCUAACCCUCGUAGAAAUGCGAGA